CGCGCAGGCGGUCGCGCAAGUCGGUUGUGAAAUCCCCUGGCUUACCCAGGGAACUGCAUCCGAUACUGCGUGACUUGAGUCCGGGAGAGGAGAGUGGAAUUCCCAGUGUAGCGGUGGAAUGCGUAGAUAUUGGGAGGAACACCAGUGGCGAAGGCGGCUCUCUGGACCGGUACUGACGCUGAGGCGCGAAAGCUAGGGGAGCAAACA
rnacentral:rRNA from 1 species